rnacentral:rRNA from 1 species
GGCGGCGUGCCUAACACAUGCAAGUCGAGCGAGAAAAGGGGAGCAAUCCUCUGAGUAAAGCGGCGCACGGGUGAGUAACACGUGGGUAAUCUGCCCUAGAGUGGGGAAUAACACCGGGAAACCGGUGCUAAUACCGCAUACGAUCACGGUGUCUUCGGAUGUUGUGAUGAAAGGAGCAAUUCGCUCUUGGAGGAGCCCGCGGCUGAUUAGCUAGUUGGUGAGGUAAUGGCUCACCAAGGCAACGAUCAGUAGCCGGUCUGAGAGGACGGUCGGCCACACUGGAACUGAGACACGGUCCAGACUCCUACGGGAGGCAGCAGUGGGGAAUUUUUCGCAAUGGGGGCAACCCUGACGAANCAACGCCGCGUGGGUGAUGAAGUAUCUCGGUACGUAAAACCCUUUCGACGGGGAAGAAACCGCAAGGUUGACGGUACCCGUAGAANAAGCCCCGGCUAACUCCGUGCCAGCAGCCGCGGUAAUACGGGGGGGGCAAGCGUUGUUCGGAAUUACUGGGCGUAAA